rnacentral:rRNA from 1 species
UACAGAGGGUGCGAGCGUUGUCCGGAAUCACUGGGCGUAAAGGGCGCGUAGGUGGCGCGACAAGUCAGUGGUGAAAGUUCGACGCUCAACGUCGAAUCGGCCACUGAUACUGUUGGGCUUGAGCACUGUAGAGGCUAAUGGAAUUCCGGGUGUAGCGGUGGAAUGCGUAGAGAUCCGGAAGAACACCGGUGGCGAAGGCGGUUAGCUGGGCAGUUGCUGACACUGAGGCGCGAAAGCGUGGGGAGCAAACAGG